AGAACCUAGACACGAGCAGAAGAAGACAGGUUAUCUUCCAUUCCAUUUAACAAGUUCCAUCUUUCUUUUCUUAAACAAUAAGGUAUUGAGCACAAAGAUACUUCAUAAGCUUCAAAAGGAUGACAAACGACACGCAAUGUGAUCAACCACAUUGCUGUUUCAUGCUUAUUAUUUUGUUUAUACGCAUUCAAAUUUCAAGAUAUCAUGUGGCUAUCACAUUUAUUCUUGAAAAGAAAAAAGUAAUCAUCAUCUUCAAUAUUGUAAAUUAGGGUAUGUGUAUGGGUAUACCUCUGCAUCCAGACCGAAAGGGUUUCUUCUAAUGACAUCCUUAAGAUGCGCUCUCUCUAAUGCCUCCCAAAGAUCAGCAUCAUUAUGCUCACAAAACGGAUCAAGAUUAAAUCUUACCGUUCCUG